UGGGGAAUUUUGGACAAUGGGGGCAACCCUGAUCCAGCCAUGCCGCGUGUCUGAAGAAGGCCUUCGGGUUGUAAAGGACUUUUGUUAGGGAGGAAAAUUUAUCCAUUAAUACUGGGUAAAGCUGACAGUACCUAAAGAAUAAGCACCGGCUAACUACGUGCCAGCAGCCGCGGUAAUACGUAGGGUGCAAGCGUUAAUCGGAAUUACUGGGCGUAAAGCGAGCGCAGGCGGUUUGUUAAGUCAGAUGUGAAAGCCCCGAGCUCAACUUGGGAAUUGCGUUUGAAACUGGCAAGCUAGAGUGUGUCAGAGGGGGGUAGAAUUCCACGUGUAGCAGUGAAAUGCGUAGAGAUGUGGAGGAAUACCGAUGGCGAAGGCAGCCCCCUGGGAUAACACUGACGCU
rnacentral:rRNA from 1 species